rnacentral:rRNA from 1 species
AUGUUGACGAACUGGCGCUCGAAGCUGUCCAUGGUCUCGGACAUCUUCUGGAGGUUGCCCGUGGCGAGGGAGGAGUCGAGCGACUUGACGAUGUUGCCCAUGGACUUGCCGAUGGCCUGCAUCUUGGCCUGCGUGUCGAGGCGGGCGACGACGGCGUCGAGGCGGGAGGCGAGGCGGAGGUAG